rnacentral:rRNA from 1 species
GGGAACGAAGAAGGUUUUUCGGUUCGUAAAGUUUCUGUUGUUAGGGAAGAACAAGUCCCGUUCAAAUAGGGCGGUACCUUGACGGUACCUAUCGAGGAAGCCCCGGCUAACUACGUGCCAGCAGCCGCGGUAAUACGUAGGGGGCAAGCGUUGUCCGGAAUUAUUGGGCGUAAAGCGCGCGUAGGCGGUUUCUUAAGUCUGAUGUGAAAUCUUGCGGCUCAACCGCAAGCGGCCAUUGGAAACUGAGGAACUUGAGUGCAGAAGAGGAGAGCGGAAUUCCACGUGUAGCGGUGAAAUGCGUAGAUAUGUGGAGGAACACCAGUGGCGAAGGCGGCUCUCUGGUCUGUAACUGACGCUGAGGUGCGAAAGCGUGGGGAGCGAACAGGAUUAGAUACCCUGGUAGUCCACGCCGUAAACGAUGAGUGCUAGGUGUUAGGGGGUUUCCGCCCCUUAGUGCUGCAGUUAACGCAUUAAGCACUCCGCCUGGGGAGUACGGCCGCAAGGCUGAAACUCAAAAGAAUUGACGGGGGCCCGCACAAGCGGUGGAGCAUGUGGUUUAAUUCGAAGCAACGCGAAGAACCUUACCAGGUCUUGACAUCUUCGGAUGUCCCUAGAGAUAGGGAGUUCCCUUCGGGGACCGAAUGACAGGUGGUGCAUGGUUGUCGUCAGCUCGUGUCGUGAGAUGUUGGGUUAAGUCCCGCAACGAGCGCAACCCUUGAUCUUAGUUGCCAGCAUUUAGUUGGGCACUCUAAGGUGACUGCCGGUGACAAACCGGAGGAAGGUGGGGAUGACGUCAAAUCAUCAUGCCCCUUAUGACCUGGGCUACACACGUGCUACAAUGGAUGGAACAAAGGGCAGCGAAGCCGCGAGGUGUAGCAAAUCCCAUAAAUCCAUUCUCAGUUCGGAUUGCAGGCUGCAACUCGCCUGUAUGAAGCCGGAAUCGCUAGUAAUCGUGGAUCAGCAUGCCACGGUGAAUACGUUCCCGGGCCUUGUACACACCGCCCGUCACACCACGAGAGUUGGCAACACCCGAAGUCGGUGGGGUAACCUUUGGAGCCAG